GAUGAACGCUGGCGGCGUGCCUAAUACAUGCAAGUCGAACGCUGAAGGAGGGGCUUGGUCUUCUGGAUGAGUUGCGAACGGGUGAGUAACGCGUAGGUAACCUGCCUGGUAGCGGGGGAUAACUAUUGGAAACGAUAGCUAAUACCGCAUGACAACAGUUAUUGCAUGAUAACUGUUGGAAAGGUGCAACUGCUCCACUACCAGAUGGACCUGCGUUGUAUUAGCGAGUUGGUGAGGUAAAGGCUCACCUAGGCGGGGAAACAUAGCAGAACGGAGAGGGGGGGCGGCCGGCCUGAGAGGGUGACACGGCCCAGAGGGCCUCGGGAGGCAGCCGUAGGGCAACGGGGGGAAUGGGUGGAAGUCUGAGCGAGCAACGCCGCGUGAGGGAAGAAGGACGUCGGGUGGUAAAGCACUGUCGUCGGGGUAGAACGCGCUUGCGAGUGGAAAGAUCAGAGUGUGACGGUAACUUAUCAGAAAGCGACGGCUAACUACGUG
rnacentral:rRNA from 1 species